UGGGGAAUAUUGGACAAUGGGCGCAAGCCUGAUCCAGCCAUGCCGCGUGAGUGACGAAGGCCUUAGGGUUGUAAAGCUCUUUUGGCGGGGACGAUAAUGACGGUACCCGCAGAAUAAGCCCCGGCUAACUUCGUGCCAGCAGCCGCGGUAAUGCGAAGGGGGCUAGCGUUGUUCGGAAUUACUGGGCGUAAAGCGCACGUAGGCGGAUGUGCCAGUCAGGGGUGAAAUCCCGAGGCUCAACCUCGGAACUGCCUCCGAUACAGCACGUCUCGAGUCCGGAAGAGGUGAGUGGAAUUCCUAGUGUAGAGGUGAAAUUCGUAGAUAUUAGGAAGAACACCAGUGGCGAAGGCGGCUCACUGGUCCGGUACUGACGCUGAGGUGCGAAAGCGUGGGGAGCAAACAGGAUUAGAUACCCGAGUAGUCCCUGAGCGGGCUGGCAAGGCGCAU
rnacentral:rRNA from 1 species